AUUGAACGCUGGCGGCAUGCUUUACACAUGCAAGUCGAACGGUAACAGGCCGCAAGGUGCUGACGAGUGGCGAACGGGUGAGUAAUGCAUCGGAACGUGCCCAGUCGUGGGGGAUAACGCAGCGAAAGCUGCGCUAAUACCGCAUACGAUCUAUGGAUGAAAGCGGGGGACCGCAAGGCCUCGCGCGAUUGGAGCGGCCGAUGUCAGAUUAGGUAGUUGGUGGGGUAAAGGGUCACCAAGCCAACGAACUGUAGCUGGUCUGAGAGGACGACCAGCCACACUGGGACUGAGACACGGCCCAGACUCCUACGGGAGGCAGCAGUGGGGAAUUUUGGACAAUGGGCGCAAGCCUGAUCCAGCAAUGCCGCGUGCAGGAAGAAGGCCUUCGGGUUGUAAACUGCUUUUGUACGGAACGAAAAGGCUCUGGUUAAUACCUGGGGCUCAUGACGGUACCGUAAGAAUAAGCACCGGCUAACUACGUGCCAGCAGCCGCCGUAAAAC
rnacentral:rRNA from 1 species